GGGGGUGCCGGCUGCUCGGGGAUAGGCUGGGCAUCGGUCAACGGGUGACUUCACUUUCCCGUUUCUCUCCCCCAUCCCGGAGAGGGAGGGGGGAGGGUGAGCGAAUGGCUGUGUGGUGUUUGGCUGCCAGCCGGGCUAAACCACAACAUUAUCUCAGCAGGGACUGAACAGAGGACGCUGAACUCAUUUCAUUAAGGACUAUAUGCGGGUUCACAAAUAUUCUCCGAUAAGUGAAAAGCCACCAGCAUUUAGUUGCUGUAAGGAUCAUUGAGAAUUAGGGGUUUGGCAACACUCCUGUUACAGGAUAUUGUAAAAAAAAUGGAUUGUCUGUAAAAAUCGAGGGCACAAAAAACAUGAAGCAACUUAAAUCAAGCACCCAUUUAAAUGCAAAGAAACUGAAUUGAAUACAUUUAUGAUCUAGCGUACUUUAACAUAGAAGAUAUAGAUAGUACAUGCAUACAUGUAGUUUGUAUAUUGAGAUAUAUGUUAUCAUGUGCAUGUAAUAUAUUAAAUGUAUAUCAUCAAGUAUUUAAUGCUUGAUAUAAGAGAACUGAUGUCAUUCCAUGGAUCAGAGGAACAAUGGUGGCACUCAGCCAUUUCCUUUCUGGGUAGCUGCUGUGUUUUUAAAAAUAAAAAAUCAGGGAGCUGCUGUAGCAAAGUCUGUAACAUUCACAGCAUGACAAACAAAUUAGAAAACAGCAGAUGCAGCACAAAUUAAGAUGUAUUUAGCACAGCAGCCCAUCAGAUGUGUGAAAGUCUUUUGUAUAUCAGCUUUGCAAGGUUGAUGUAUUGCACUUUAGACAGCUGAUAAUGAACCCUUCUAGCAAUUAGAGGUGGAAAUGCUAGGAUUUGAAAUUGUGCUGUUCCCAGUGGGGGAGGGGAGGAAAAAAAGGCACAAAAACUCUGUGAGAAAUUUGCUGCUUUGUGUGUGUGUGCUGGGUAAAACAAAGGAAGUGUUUCAGUCUUUGCACAUGCACAUUUUGAUUUUUUCCCUUGUUUUUUACAUUUAAUGCUUGUGUAAUUAUUAUUUCAGUUUAUGUAUCAUUUAAUAAAUGUGCAUUUCUUGGUGAUGUUAUGUGAGUUUUAUGGCAGAUACAACGUCUCUUGCUUUAUGUAGUGCAUUAUUUAGUCAUCUGGUGGGAGGACAGUAAUUUCAGUAAUCCAGUCUUCAAACAGCAAUAACCAUUUUAAUGGUUUAGCUAAUUUACAUCUUUACAGUUCGUAUUGUAUUUUGCUUUAUCGUUAAUGCUUCUGUUACACUUCCUCUCUCUGCCACUAUUUUUUUCACAGCCUAAAGCACAAAUUAAAAGCCCUGAAGGAGGUUUUGCAUAUGCGAAGGUAGUGGUUUUGAAGCUCAAACUCACUUCUAUGCCUGAUCCUCCUAGGU